GCAAGAUGCCGCACCAUAGACACAUCGGUUUAGGCUGUUAAAAGAUGGAUCAUUUUAAAAACUGUGUUUUCCUUCCUUAAUUUUUGGUCAUUGAAGCUAGCACUUGUUUGCUGAACUGUGGAAGAACUGCAAGGUCACGCACAUUAUUCAUGAUAAAGCAACUGAGCUGACAAGUCUGUGCUUAAUUCAAGAAUAACCAGUAGGAGAGAGAGAAAACACAAGGAGUUAACCACCAUCGCCGGUGCUCUCUCAAAGGAAGAGGGGUUAACAGAUGAAUUCGCAAAGACAGCUCUUCUGGCCAAGAAUAUGGA
rnacentral:lncRNA from 1 species